GGGGCCGUAGUCCAACGGCAGGAGACGGCAGCUUUAGGUGCUGUACAGUGCGGGUUCGAAUCCCGCCGGCCCCA
rfam:Nocardiopsis sp. JB363 genome assembly, contig: Scaffold26